rnacentral:rRNA from 1 species
AUCGAACGCUGGCGGCAUGCCUAACACAUGCAAGUCGAGCGAGCGGCGGUCGGGUGCGUAUUGCUUGGGAAUUGCCCCGUCGCGGGGGAUAACAGUUGGAAACUACUGCUAAUACCUCAUACGACUUUAUUUCCCAGGUGGGGUUAGCCAGUGGGUGGGGUAAGGGCUCACUAAGGCAACGAUGCCUAGCUGGGCUGAGAGGAUGAUCGGCCACACUGGGACUGAGACACGGUCCAGACUCCUACGGGAGGCAGCAGUAGGGAAUCUUGGGCAAUGGGGGAAAGCCUGAUGGAGCCACGCCGCGUGAGUGAAGAAGGCCUUCGGGUUGUAAAGCACUUUCAGCGAGGAGGCGUUACUCACCGAGGAAGCACCGGCUAACUCCGUGCCAGCAGCCGCGGUAAUUC